rnacentral:rRNA from 1 species
UGGGGAAUCUUGCGCAAUGGGCGAAAGCCUGACGCAGCCAUGCCGCGUGAAUGAUGAAGGUCUUAGGAUUGUAAAAUUCUUUCACCGGGGUAGAUAAUGACGGUACCCGGAGAAGAAGCCCCGGCUAACUUCGUG